UACGAAGGGGGCUAGCGUUGCUCGGAUUGACUGGGCGUAAAGGGCGCGUAGGCGGUUUGCAUAGUCAGACGUGAAAUUCCUGGGCUUAACCUGGGGGCUGCGUUUGAUACAUGCAGGCUUGAGUUCGGAAGAGGGUCGUGGAAUUCCCAGUGUAGAGGUGAAAUUCGUAGAUAUCGGUAGGAACACCAGUGGCGAAGGCGGUUUCCUGGAGCUAACUUGACGCUGAGACGCGAAAGCUGGGGGAGCAAACGGG
rnacentral:rRNA from 1 species